AACGAACGCUGGCGGCGCGCCUAAUACAUGCAAGUCGAGCGAGAAGACGUAGCAAUACGUUUGUAGAGCGGCGAACGGGUGAGGAAUACAUGGGUAACCUACCCUCGAGUGGGGAAUAACUAGCCGAAAGGUUAGCUAAUACCGCGUACGCUCCUUGGACUUCGGUUCAGGGAGGAAAGCGAUACCGUGGGUAUCGCGCUCUUGGAUGGGCUCAUGUCCUAUCAGCUUGUUGGNGAGGUAACGGCUCACCAAGGCUUCGACGGGUAGCUGGUCUGAGAGGACAAUCAGCCACACUGGCACUGCGACACGGGCCAGACUCCUACGGGAGGCAGCAGUAAGGAAUAUUGCGCAAUGGGCGAAAGCCUGACGCAGCGACGCCGCGUGGGGGAUGAAGGUCUUCGGAUUGUAAACCCCUUUCGGGAGGGAAGAUGGAACGAGCAAUCGUUCGGACGGUACCUCCAGAAGCAGCCACGGCUAACUUCGUGCCA
rnacentral:rRNA from 1 species